CCUACGGGUGGCAGCAGUGAGGAAUAUUGGUCAAUGGACGCAAGUCUGAACCAGCCAUGUCGCGUGCAGGAAGACGGCCCUAUGAGUUGUAAACUGCUUUUGUACGAGGGUAAACUCCGAUACGCGUGCCUUUCUGUAAGUACCUUACGAAUAAGGAUCGGCUAACUCCGUGCCAGCAGCCGCGGUAAUACGGAGGAUCCGAGCGUUAUCCGGAUUUAUUGGGUUUAAAGGGUGCGUAGAGGGGGUGUUAAGUCAGUGGUGAAAUGUCGAGGCUCAACGGUAGAAUUGCAAGUGAUACGGGAAGGAGGGAGUAUAGUCGAGGUAGGCGGAAUUCGUGGUGUAGCGGUGAAAUGCGUAGAGAGCACGAAGAACUCCGAGUGCGAAGGGAGCUUACUAAACUGCAAAGGACAUUGAUGCUCGAAAGGGUGGGGAUCAAAAAGGAGGAGAUACCCUAGUAGUC
rnacentral:rRNA from 1 species